rnacentral:tRNA from 1 species
GAUCGAUUAGCUCAGCUGGUUUAGAGCGUGGUGCUAAUAACGCCAAGGUCCUGGGUUCGAUCCCCAUAUUGAUCA